UGAGGAAUAUUGGUCAAUGGACGAGAGUCUGAACCAGCCAAGUAGCGUGCAGGAUGACGGCCCUAUGGGUUGUAAACUGCUUUUGUUUGGGAGUAAUCGACAUUACGUGUAAUGUUUUGCAUGUACCAUUCGAAUAAGGACCGGCUAAUUCCGUGCCAGCAGCCGCGGUAAUACGGAAGGUCCAGGCGUUAUCCGGAUUUAUUGGGUUUAAAGGGAGUGUAGGCGGUUGGUUAAGCGUGUUGUGAAAUGUAGAUGCUCAACAUCUGACUUGCAGCGCGAACUGGCUGACUUGAGUACACACAACGUAGGCGGAAUUCAUGGUGUAGCGGUGAAAUGCUUAGAUAUCAUGAAGAACUCCGAUUGCGAAGGCAGCUUACGGGAGUGUUACUGACGCUUAAGCUCGAAGGUGCGGGUAUCGAACAGG
rnacentral:rRNA from 1 species